UGCUAUGCCCAUAUCAUCCUGAACAUGCCCGAUCUCGUCUGAUCUUGGAAGCUAACCAGGGUGGGGCCUGGUUAGUAC
rnacentral:rRNA from 1 species